rnacentral:misc_RNA from 1 species
AAAUUGUUCGAGUACUAGCUAGAGGUAUUAAUCUAGUAACUGAAAGGCAAUAUCCAUCUGUCCAUUCUGUUUCAUCUCUUUUUUCUUGAACAAGAGAAAAUAGUCUUUGCGUUUCACUACAACAAGUGCAGGAAAUGUUGGACAUUAUUUUUACUUAAGAAAACUUUUUUUCCCACAAUCUGUUGUUCAUUCUGAUAACUGGUUUUGGUGUGAAUGUCAUGGGAUCUGGUAGACAUCUUUGCACAUGAAUACAUAACAUAUGUGCAUAUUUUAAGUGCAUGAAUAGAGCAAACACACACACACACACAUACAGAACACAUGUGCAUAUUUUAAGUAUAUGAAUAGAACAAACACACACACAGAGAACAACUUACAUUCCCAUUUACAUAACUCUAUUGUCAACAACAAACUAUAAAUAUCCCUAUUUGCCUGUAGAUUUUAAAAAUCCCCACCAAACGAAGAUUAUCCUCACCAACUCAACUCAACUCAACUA